rnacentral:lncRNA from 1 species
AUUGGAUCAUGGAUGCGCUAAUGGACAACACGGAUGACAAGGAAAGUGCCAUCGUACAUGCUCUGGGUGUCUUGAGGAGCUUGUCUUUGGAGGAUGCUGAGCAGGUCUUUCUUUCUGGUAAAGAUUAUCAUUACAGUGAAGUAAAAUAAUUUAACAGACUGUUGACAAACAACUGACGAAAGAAGAGAGACCAUUCAAUAGAGGCCACUAGAGAUCGUGACCUGUGAAGAGAUGAUGCCACCAUAGAGGACUUCUAGAUGUAUCCAUAAUCCUGAAACAGACCGUAUCAUGAGCAGAUGCAGUGGUGGUCAUGGAGGAGUGGAGAGCAUGAGACUGAUUAAUGAAAGACCCCAGUGACAGAUGAGUGCCCACAUUGAUCCUGUGGUCCAGCCUGAAAACCCACUGGUGACCUACUCACACCUGCAGCUUCUCCACAAUGGAUGCCCAGUGUUCUUCAGCCUCCAGCGCCUAGACUGCA